GUUUCAGUAGUAUUAUCUAACCAGGCUGGGUGACUGUUCUGAGGUUUCAGUAGUAUUAUCUAACCAGGCUGGGUGACUGUUCUGAGGUUUCAGUAGUAGUAUUAUCCAACCAGGCUGGGUGACUGUUCUGAGGUUUCAGUAGUAUUAUCCAACCAGGCUGGGUGACUGUUCUGAGGUUUCAGUAGUAGUAUUAUCCAACCAGGCUGGGUGACUGUUCUGAGGUUUCAGUAGUAGUAUUGGAUGAAGACCACUAGGGGGCAGAGUUGUUCCAGAUCAGUAACCCAACCCCAAGCUCCUGUCAUAUCAUGUUGUAAGAUGUUCUCAUCCUCAACAGCCUCCCUCCUCUCUCCUCUCUCUCGUCACAACCCCUAGCUGAUAUAGAGCUAGACGUCAUCAACUAGAUCAUCCACCGUGUAUAUAGAGCUAGACGUUCCCCAACUAGAUCAUCCACCUAGCUAUAGAGCUAGACGUUCCUCAACUAGAUCAUCCACCUGGAUAUAGAGCUAGACGUUCAUCAACUAGAUCAUCC
rnacentral:lncRNA from 1 species